AAUUAAGAGAACAUGAUGUUGGUUCAGAUCUAAUGCUAUGUAGAGACAUAACACAUGCAAGUUAAGUAAAUUAAGCGUUAAGGUGAGUUUUAUAAGAUAAUAAAAAAUCUUAUACAGAUGUAGGUAAUAGAUAAAAAUAUCUAGCCAUGGAACUGGAGCCGACGAUAAGCGUCACAACGGCCACAUUGAUAAAAAAAUCAACUCUUAUAAAGAGCAGCAGUGGGGAAUCUUUGACAAUGGUCUAACGACUGAUCAAGUUAUCUACGAGAAAAAUAUUAAAAAUAAAAAACUAAUAAAAGAUUAACUAUAAAUUUCUAAAUAAUAGUAAUAAUGAUACUAAUUAUGAAAGAGUCCUAACUAAAAUAUGUGCCAGCAGCUGCGGUUAGACAUAGAGGGCAAGCAUUGAUCAGAAUGGCUUAAAGGAUCUGUAGAACGUAUUUUUAAAUAUAUAAAAAUAUAGAAUAAUAAAAGGUAAUAAGAAUUAAAGUUAGAGGGAUAAAAUACUAAGAAAACAUUAAGACUAUAAAGAGAUUACUUAAAAUUAUUGACGUUGUGAGAUGAAGGCUACGGUAGCGACAUGGAUUCGAUACCCAUUUAGUCGUAGCAGUAAACUAUGAAUACAAUAUAAGAAUAAUUAAAAUGAAUAGUAUUCCGCCUGACUAGUACGCUCGCAAGGGUGAAAUACAAGACAUUAGACGGUUGUAGUCCCAAGCAGUGGAACAUGUCAUUUAAUUGGAUGAUCCUCCAAGAACCUUACCAUCUCUUGAAUUAUUAACAGGCGUUACAUCGUUGUCGUCAGUUCAUGCCGUGAGGUUUAAUAUUAAGUUAUUGAAUGAACGUAACCCUUUUCUUUUAGAUAAGUAUAAUUGUAAAAUUAUAGGAAGUAGAGGUUGAAGACUAAUCAUGAUGACCCUAAUGAGAUGGGCUAUCGACGUGUUACAAUAUUAAUAACAAUUAUAUUAAUGCCAACCCACAGGGUGGGUAUUCCCGGCCGUAGGCCGGGGAUUUUAAAAUUAAAUUAAAUUAUAUUCUUAUUACAUAGGGAUUUUAUUAAAUAUUAAGAAAAAGACAUAGUUUCAUUUAUGGAUUGUAAUCUGAAAUUCGGUUACAUAAAGGAGGAAUUGCUAGUAAUCGUAAACAAUAGAGUUACGGUGAAAUUUUUUGCUACUUCGUACUAACCACUCAUCAACAGCAAGAAAUUUAUUUUUUACUUAUUGAGUUCUUAUUUAAAGGACUUGCUGUAAGUUGAAAUACGGUUCGGUUAGGGGAACCUGAUCGGGAUUUAUUUAUUUA
rnacentral:rRNA from 1 species